rnacentral:rRNA from 1 species
AACGAACGCUGGCGGCAUGCCUAACACAUGCAAGUCGAACGAGACCUUCGGGUCUAGUGGCGCACGGGUGCGUAACGCGUGGGAACCUGCCCUUAGGUUGGGAAUAACUCCCCGAAAGGGGUGCUAAUACCGGAUAAUGUCUUCGGACCAAAGAUUUAUCGCCUUUGGAUGGGCCCGCGUUGGAUUAGCUAGUUGGUAGGGUAAAAGCCUACCAAGGCGACGAUCCAUAGCUGGUCUGAGAGGAUGAUCAGCCACACUGGGACUGAGACACGGCCCAGACUCCUACGGGAGGCAGCAGUGGGGAAUAUUGGACAAUGGGCGAAAGCCUGAUCCAGCAAUGCCGCGUGAGUGAUGAAGGCCUUAGGGUUGUAAAGCUCUUUUACCCGGGAUGAUAAUGACAGUACCGGGAGAAUAAGCUCCGGCUAACUCCGUG